rnacentral:rRNA from 1 species
AACGAACGCUGGCGGCAGGCUUAACACAUGCAAGUCGAACGCCCCGCAAGGGGAGUGGCAGACGGGUGAGUAACGCAUGGGAACAUACCCUUUCCUGCGGAAUAGCUCUGGGAAACUGGAAUUAAUACCGCAUACGCCCUACGGGGGAAAGAUUUAUCAGGGGAAGGGAUGGCCCGCGUUGGAUUAGCUAGUUGGUGGGGUAAGAGCCUACCAAGGCGAAGAUCCAUAGCUGUCUGAGAGGAUGAUAAGCCACAUUGGGACUGAGACACGGCCCAAACUCCUACGGGAGUCAGCAGUGGGGAAUAUUGGACAAUGGGCGCAAGCCUGAUCCAGCCAUGCCGCGUGAGUGAUGAAGGCCUUAGGGUUGUAAAGCUCUUUCACCGAUGAAGAUAAUGACGGUAGUCGGAGAAGAAGCCCCGGCUAACUUCGUGCCAGCCGCCGCCGUAAAAC